CAGCCGCCGCGGUAAAACGUAUGUCACAAGCGUUAUCCGGAUUUAUUGGGCGUAAAGCGCGUCUAGGUGGUUAUGUAAGUCUGAUGUGAAAAUGCAGGGCUCAACUCUGUAUUGCGUUGGAAACUGUGUAACUAGAGUACUGGAGAGGUAAGCGGAACUACAAGUGUAGAGGUGAAAUUCGUAGAUAUUUGUAGGAAUGCCGAUGGGGAAGCCAGCUUACUGGACAGAUACUGACGCUAAAGCGCGAAAGCGUGGGUAGCAAACAGGAUUAGAGACCCGAGUAGUCCCUGUCUCUUAUACA
rnacentral:rRNA from 1 species